AGUGAACGCUGGCGGUAGGCCUAACACAUGCAAGUCGAACGGCAGCACAGUAAGAGCUUGCUCUUACGGGUGGCGAGUGGCGGACGGGUGAGGAAUACAUCGGAAUCUACUUUUUCGUGGGGGAUAACGUAGGGAAACUUACGCUAAUACCGCAUACGACCUACGGGUGAAAGCAGGGGAUCUUCGGACCUUGCGCGAUUGAAUGAGCCGAUGUCGGAUUAGCUAGUUGGCGGGGUAAAGGCCCACCAAGGCGACGAUCCGUAGCUGGUCUGAGAGGAUGAGCAGCCAGAGUGGGACAGAGAAACGGGCCAGACUCCAACGGGAGGCAGCAGUGGGGAAUAUUGGACGAUGGGCGCAAGCCUGAUCCAGCCAUAUCGCGUGGGUGAAGAAGGCCUUCGGGUUGUAAAGCCCUUUUGUUGGGAAAGAAAAGCAGCAGGUUAAUACCCCGCUGUUCUGACGGUACCCAAAGAAUAAGCACCGGCUAACUUCGUG
rnacentral:rRNA from 1 species